GGGAUUGUGGCUCAGUGGUAGAGCGCUUGCCUAGCAUGUGUGAGGCCCUGGGUUCGAUCCUUAGCACCA
rnacentral:tRNA from 1 species